rnacentral:rRNA from 1 species
UACGGAGGGUGCAAACGUUGCUCGGAAUCAUUGGGCGUAAAGCGCACGUAGGCGGACCGCUAAGUCGGAUGUGAAAGCCCUCGGCUUAACCGAGGAAGUGCAUUCGAAACUGACGGUCUUGAGUAUGGAAGAGGGUCGCGGAAUUCCCGGUGUAGAGGUGAAAUUCGUAGAUAUCGGGAGGAACACCAGUGGCGAAGGCGGCGACCUGGGCCAAUACUGACGCUGAGGCGCGAAAGCUAGGGGAGCAAACGGG